GGAACAACCGCUCGAAAACCUCCUCUAUACUGUUCUCGGCUUGGGAUGGAUCAUUAGCGUUAGCAACGAAAGAGGCAUCGACAUUAAGCUUCAAGACACCAAAUUUCGGUUUUUGCCACUUGGGCAUUUUCUUGAAGAUUGCAUUGUUUCAAUCCUUCCAUACACACCAUAGGGUCAUCGCAAUGAGGUCAAACUGAGGCGAGGUUCGUGGAUCCUCCCUUAAUUUAGUUAACCACUCAUCAAAUUGAGUAAGACCCAUUCUUUUGAUACAAAUUUGCAAGGAAUGCUGGCGCCACAGUUGUGAUGUCCAAGGACAAGGUAGCGGGGUAUGUUCAACUGUCUCGGGUUCUUAUUUGCAUAAUGGGCAUACAGGUGUAGGUAUGAUCUUCCUUCUAUAUAGGUUCUCCAAGGUAGGUAGGGCGUUAUAACGGGCAUUCCAUAGGAAGAUUUUAACUUUGGGCGUUGUUCAUGCUUUCCAAAUGUAUUUCCACAAAGCUGAUUGCCUAAUAGGAAGAUGAUGCUUUUGUAGUGAGAGUGCUAGUUGUAAGGCUCCUAUUGCUAAAAUAUCCACUUUUAACCGUGUAUUUCCCUGA